rnacentral:misc_RNA from 1 species
AAAAUCCAAAACUGAAUAGGACUUUAGAUGCUCCCACAUGACAUUGCCUUCUCAUAAGCAGAUUAGGGAAGACCUAAACCACACCGUCCAAAGUUUUAGCCAUGCAAAGCCAAGAUAUUAUUGCCAAACUAAACUGAUGCAGCCCAUUGUAUUAAUUGGGUAACCUAGGCCUUUCUAAAGUCCAACAUGGAACUGGAAUUAGAAAAAUGAAACCCAUCUUUCCACGUGAAACAAGUACUGGAAAACUUGGGUGUGAUGCCUGCUGAAUUCUAUGAGUGAAGACAAGAAUACUUAUUUACUUUCAUAAGAAAUCAUACAAAUAGCUAUGAGUUUUAGCCACCUAAGGCCAGCCUCAUUUGUCUACAAAUAGUUAUUAAAUUGACUUGAAAUCAAUCCUAGAAACAAAUCCAG